UACAAAAAUGCGUGCAGUCUCUCCGUCAGCCAUUUUGAAGACAGCUUUAUCUUAAAAUAGUAGUAACAACACAGGACAUUCUGUCUCCCUGUCAGCCAUUUUGUUGAGAUAACACUAGGCUUCCCUAACAGGCAUGGAAUAGACUGGGCACCCUUUCUUUAAAGCAUUUUCUAACUGUCACAUGCUAUCUGCACACUCCUCUAUCACAUCCUUUUACUCCCCUGCUGCUGUUUUUUUCUUCCUUUGCUAUAUUUCUGAACGCUUCUCCGUCUGUGUCAGAAUGGAUUCAAACCGGCUGUCUCUCUAUUUCUGUGUCUGUCUCUGCAACUCUGCCUCAGUCCCUAUGCAGUCCUGGUCAAAUGUCUCCAUGGCAACCCAGACUAUCAUACUAUGGGAAAGGGAGUUGGUCGUCCGUCCGUCCAUCUGCUGUUAAGUGGAAUCGUACAUUAGAGAGUGAAUGAGUGAGUAGGUGGGCGAGUAUCUCAGUCGGCAUGUGGUCUGAUUGAAUGCUCGUAUAGUAUGCAUGUAGGUCAUGUGGAGCUUUAUCCUGAGCCUGGACCGCUGGGACCCGAACGCCUGAAGUGAGCCUCGCCAGCCUCCCUCUCAGAGGAGUCUACUUCUUGAAGAUGUUGGUAGGCGGGGCCCGAAUACUUGGACCCUCCAAUCGGAUUUAGCCUUCCCCUGGGUAUUGGCGGGGUCCUGCGUGGGGCUGACCAAUG